AUCAAACUCCUUUUUUGAAACAGAUGUUGUGCACUUGAUUGGUAUGGUAAAGGAGGAGUUGGACGUGAAAUCCAGUAUAGGGGCAAACCAGAUCGCGUCUCACUCUCUGCCUGCCCUAACCCAGAACUCCAAAUCGCGUCUCCUCCUCCGGUCGAUCUCUCUGCGUCUCCUCCUCCGGUGUCUCCGCGUCUCUAACUCCGCCUCCGCUCUACUGACUACUGGUACGUCAAUUGUUUUGAUUUUUUGUUCAUUCCACGAAUUAAGGCUAGGGUUUGAACAUGUCUAUGGGCAAUUUUAAAAUAGGCGUGAAUUGUACUGAAAUUAAUAUAUAUGGCCCAUGAAUUGUACUGAAAUAAGAAUCUGUGCCUAUUGAUUUUUUCUCCAACUUGCUGUAGUCCUGGAUUGUAUGUAUUCUCUAUGCCAAGUUUCUGAAUUGAAUCUGGAAGCAUUUUAUAGGUCCGUCUAUGAUAGGAAAGGAGUCGCCAUGAAUAUAUUACACAACAUUUUGCUUUUACAAUGGUAUAUUCAAUAUCCACCAAAUCAUCAAACGCUGUGUUUUGAUGGAUACUUACUAAAAUGCAAUCAUUUCAUUGAUUUCAGUGGUUGGGUUUAAUCCUUAUACUAGGUAAUGGGUUGUUUUGCACAUAAUGGCUACCUAUGGUUGGGCAGAAGAUGUUUUUCGUGUGUUCAAGAUGUACUACUAUCUCUGUUUUAGAACUAGAUCCAAAAUUAGAGAUAUAUGUCUAUUUAAGAUUAUGAAGUGAUAUAAAUUAAGAUGUCAUAAUUUUUAUUCUUAAUUGAUUUAAGUAUCAUCAUAGCAGCAGGGUUAAAUUCUUAUGUAAUAUAGGGAUAAAUUUGUAAAAUAAAAAUAUUCCUUUAAUUUACAAGUGUAUGUAUCUGAUAGAGAGUAAGCAGUAAGUAUGUGUUGAUUGAUUUAUACAAGUUAUUCUUUUGUGGUCUGUUUGUCUGGCAAGCUUUAUCUGUUGGUAGCUACUGCCUUCUAUUAAUGGUGUUUAAUCCAUAUAUCUUUGUAAGUUAAGCUCGAGGAGUAUCUGUUUAUUUUUUGUUUUACUUUAAUAGUAUUUUGGUAAUGCCAUAUAUUGAUAUUCUCCAUCAAUUUUAAGAGCUCAAUUCAUUUCAUCAAACACUGUGUUUUUUUUCUAGACUAUUUAGUAACCAGGCCUCAAGAGUCAAGAAUACUGUCUGCGUUUGUCAAUAUAUAUAUAUAUAUAUAUAUAUAUAUAUAUAUAUAUAUAUAUAUUCAAUUGUCUGGUCAAAGACGUACUUAAUAGGUGUAGGUGUAUACUUAAAAAUUCAGGAAUAAUUAUUAAUUAUGAACUGAUCCUAAAGAAAUUUAAACUAGCAACCUCUAAUGCAUGUUUUUCACUACCAUCAGUUGAUAUGAGACUUAUUGUGUAAUGUGGAGCAGGGAGUGAGUAUGAUUUAUGACAUGCACAGUUCGUCAAGGUCCGAUGAUCUACCCAUCCUUCCACAGUUGAAUUGAUUCUUAAAUAAGCUUUCUUAAUCUUGAAGAUGUAUGUAGCAAUAGUAUGCAUACAAACAUUUUUUGAGGUAUUAUGGUUAUUGGUACAUUAUAUAUGAAAACAAAUUGAUGCAAAAAACAUGCCCAAUAUACAGAGUAAAGAGAAUGUAAUUAUGAUAUUAACUAACGAACAAGCUCCUCUUCUUUUUUGGCAGCUUCUUCCAACUCUCGGAGGCCUCCAACCUUUUGUUCAAUCUCCUCAAUUAGCUCUUCUCGCCAUAACUCUGCUCUACCAGAUGCACACUUAUACACUGCUCCUUAGGUGUUGAUAUUUGCCAAAUACGCUGCAAUGCUUUGUGAAGAUGCUAAUAUUCCUUUAUGAUAUUAGUCAUAAAAGAAUGUUUUUCAUGAAAGAAGGAAGGUACUCUCUAUACUUAUGUGAUGCGUCUCAUGACUUUCAUGGAAUGAUCUUUUCUCGUUGAAUAUGUUUAUAUAUCAAGAGGAAUAUAAAUAGGUAUAUUCAUCUGUUGGGAUCAUAUGUUCCUGCUAAGUUUUUCCAUUUAUUCUUGUAAUGAUCCUCAAGGAUAUUGAUCUGAAUAUAUCACAAUGUGAUAUACGAUAAGGUUUAUAUGUGAUUUUAACUAGCAUAUCAUUUAUUUCUAUUGUGUCAUCAGUACUCUUUAGUCUGCAGUUACUAUUUUUUCUUGACCCUCAAGUCUUAAAAUGCAAAUAUAUUGAUACGCAGUAGUUAUUUUUUUCUUAUUGAUUAAUGUUGUUAAAGUUACUGUCGGUGUUCUCUGAAUACUUUUUCUGUUUUUUGUUGAUGGUAAUUUGGUGAGAUUUUAAAAACAGGUAGGCGUGGAACACCUGUAGCAGUCAAGAAAAUUCUUCCAAAUAUUUCAGAUGAUAGAUUGGUGAUGUAAAGUUCUUUUCCUGUAUCUCAUGUUUUUUAAUGUGUGAUAUAUAAUGUUGAUAAUUUAAUGAUAUAUUCACAAUUAUCAAAGAGAUAUUAAGUGUAUAAAUAUCUGCUUAAGCAAUGGGAUCUGGAAUGAUGAUCCAUUUGUUGUUUACUUUUUUGUUCUACUAACUUGCACUUGAUCCGACCCAGAUGAUUUAUUUGCUUCAUCAAAUGCAUUAGCUGAUAUUUCAUUGAAUAACUCCUGAAAAUGACGAUGCAGAUGAUGACGACUCUGACAAGGUCUCCAUGUAGAAUUUGGGAUGAUCUAGAUUUCCUUUGAUUAUCAAUUUAUUAGUUUAGGAGUUCUUUGAUAGAUGUUGGGUUAGUUAAUUGUUUGAUGAACUUAUGAAAUGUAGCUAGUUAUUUAAAUAGUUGGUUAUGAAUUGAUUUUUAAUUAAAUGGAUCAAGUUUUUUCAUUUUAAUAAUUUUGUAUGAUUUUACGUUUUAAAUUUAUUGAAAUUUAUGGC
rnacentral:lncRNA from 1 species